CGCGGGGUAGAGCAGUGGUAGCUCGGGCGGCUCAUAACCGCCAGGUCGUGGGUUCGAAUCCCACCCCCGCUACCA
rnacentral:tRNA from 1 species